rnacentral:rRNA from 1 species
AUGCACGCUGGCGGCGUGCCUAAUACAUGCAAGUCGAGCGAACGGACGAGAAGCUUGCUUCUCUGAUGUUAGCGGCGGACGGGUGAGUAACACGUGGAUAACCUACCUAUAAGACUGGGAUAACUUCGGGAAACCGGAGCUAAUACCGGAUAAUAUUUUGAACCGCAUGGUUCAAAAGUGAAAGACGGUCUUGCUGUCACUUAUAGAUGGAUCCGCGCUGCAUUAGCUAGUUGGUAAGGUAACGGCUUACCAAGGCAACGAUGCAUAGCCGACCUGAGAGGGUGAUCGGCCACACUGGAACUGAGACACGGUCCAGACUCCUACGGGAGGCAGCAGUAGGGAAUAUUCCGCAAUGGGCGAAAGCCUGACGGAGCAACGCCGCGUGAGUGAUGAAGGUCUUCGGAUCGUAAAACUCUUUUAUUAGGGAAGAACAUAUGUGUAAGUAACUGUGCACAUCUUGACGGUACCUAAUCAGAAAGCCACGGCUAACUACGUG